CAUAGGUUAAUGAGGCGAACCGGGGGAACUGAAACAUCUAAGUACCCCGAGGAAAAGAAAUCAACCGAGAUUCCCCCAGUAGCGGCGAGCGAACGGGGAGCAGCCCAGAGCCUGAAUCAGUGUGUGUGUUAGUGGAAGCGUCUGGAAAGGCGCGCGAUACAGGGUGACAGCCCCGUACACAAAAAUGCACAUGCUGUGAGCUCGAUGAGUAGGGCGGGACACGUGGUAUCCUGUCUGAAUAUGGGGGGACCAUCCUCCAAGGCUAAAUACUCCUGACUGACCGAUAGUGAACCAGUACCGUGAGGGAAAGGCGAAAAGAACCCCGGCGAGGGGAGUGAAAAAGAACCUGAAACCGUGUACGUACAAGCAGUGGGAGCACGCUUAGGCGUGUGACUGCGUACCUUUUGUAUAAUGGGUCAGCGACUUAUAUUCUGUAGCAAGGUUAACCGAAUAGGGGAGCCGAAGGGAAACCGAGUCUUAACUGGGCGUUAAGUUGCAGGGUAUAGACCCGAAACCCGGUGAUCUAGCCAUGGGCAGGUUGAAGGUUGGGUAACACUAACUGGAGGACCGAACCGACUAAUGUUGAAAAAUUAGCGGAUGACUUGUGGCUGGGGGUGAAAGGCCAAUCAAACCGGGAGAUAGCUGGUUCUCCCCGAAAGCUAUUUAGGUAGCGCCUCGUGAAUUCAUCUCCGGGGGUAGAGCACUGUUUCGGCAAGGGGGUCAUCCCGACUUACCAACCCGAUGCAAACUGCGAAUACCGGAGAAUGUUAUCACGGGAGACACACGGCGGGUGCUAACGUCCGUCGUGAAGAGGGAAACAACCCAGACCGCCAGCUAAGGUCCCAAAGUCAUGGUUAAGUGGGAAACGAUGUGGGAAGGCCCAGACAGCCAGGAUGUUGGCUUAGAAGCAGCCAUCAUUUAAAGAAAGCGUAAUAGCUCACUGGUCGAGUCGGCCUGCGCGGAAGAUGUAACGGGGCUAAACCAUGCACCGAAGCUGCGGCAGCGACGCUUAUGCGUUGUUGGGUAGGGGAGCGUUCUGUAAGCCUGUGAAGGUGUGCUGUGAGGCAUGCUGGAGGUAUCAGAAGUGCGAAUGCUGACAUAAGUAACGAUAAAGCGGGUGAAAAGCCCGCUCGCCGGAAGACCAAGGGUUCCUGUCCAACGUUAAUCGGGGCAGGGUGAGUCGACCCCUAAGGCGAGGCCGAAAGGCGUAGUCGAUGGGAAACAGGUUAAUAUUCCUGUACUUGGUGUUACUGCGAAGGGGGGACGGAGAAGGCUAUGUUGGCCGGGCGACGGUUGUCCCGGUUUAAGCGUGUAGGCUGGUUUUCCAGGCAAAUCCGGAAAAUCAAGGCUGAGGCGUGAUGACGAGGCACUACGGUGCUGAAGCAACAAAUGCCCUGCUUCCAGGAAAAGCCUCUAAGCAUCAGGUAACAUCAAAUCGUACCCCAAACCGACACAGGUGGUCAGGUAGAGAAUACCAAGGCGCUUGAGAGAACUCGGGUGAAGGAACUAGGCAAAAUGGUGCCGUAACUUCGGGAGAAGGCACGCUGAUAUGUAGGUGAAGUCCCUCGCGGAUGGAGCUGAAAUCAGUCGAAGAUACCAGCUGGCUGCAACUGUUUAUUAAAAACACAGCACUGUGCAAACACGAAAGUGGACGUAUACGGUGUGACGCCUGCCCGGUGCCGGAAGGUUAAUUGAUGGGGUCAGCGCAAGCGAAGCUCUUGAUCGAAGCCCCGGUAAACGGCGGCCGUAACUAUAACGGUCCUAAGGUAGCGAAAUUCCUUGUCGGGUAAGUUCCGACCUGCACGAAUGGCGUAAUGAUGGCCAGGCUGUCUCCACCCGAGACUCAGUGAAAUUGAACUCGCUGUGAAGAUGCAGUGUACCCGCGGCAAGACGGAAAGACCCCGUGAACCUUUACUAUAGCUUGACACUGAACAUUGAGCCUUGAUGUGUAGGAUAGGUGGGAGGCUUUGAAGUGUGGACGCCAGUCUGCAUGGAGCCGACCUUGAAAUACCACCCUUUAAUGUUUGAUGUUCUAACGUUGACCCGUAAUCCGGGUUGCGGACAGUGUCUGGUGGGUAGUUUGACUGGGGCGGUCUCCUCCUAAAGAGUAACGGAGGAGCACGAAGGUUGGCUAAUCCUGGUCGGACAUCAGGAGGUUAGUGCAAUGGCAUAAGCCAGCUUGACUGCGAGCGUGACGGCGCGAGCAGGUGCGAAAGCAGGUCAUAGUGAUCCGGUGGUUCUGAAUGGAAGGGCCAUCGCUCAACGGAUAAAAGGUACUCCGGGGAUAACAGGCUGAUACCGCCCAAGAGUUCAUAUCGACGGCGGUGUUUGGCACCUCGAUGUCGGCUCAUCACAUCCUGGGGCUGAAGUAGGUCCCAAGGGUAUGGCUGUUCGCCAUUUAAAGUGGUACGCGAGCUGGGUUUAGAACGUCGUGAGACAGUUCGGUCCCUAUCUGCCGUGGGCGCUGGAGAACUGAGGGGGGCUGCUCCUAGUACGAGAGGACCGGAGUGGACGCAUCACUGGUGUUCGGGUUGUCAUGCCAAUGGCACUGCCCGGUAGCUAAAUGCGGAAGAGAUAAGUGCUGAAAGCAUCUAAGCACGAAACUUGCC
rnacentral:rRNA from 1 species